UACGUAGGGCGCGAGCGUUGUCCGGAAUUAUUGGGCGUAAAGAGCUCGUAGGCGGUCUGUCGCGUCGGAUGUGAAAGCCCGGGGCUUAACCCCGGGUCUGCAUUCGAUACGGGCAGACUAGAGUGUGGUAGGGGGAGAUCGGAAUUCCUGGUGUAGCGGUGAAAUGCGCAGAUAUCAAGGAGGAACACCGGUGGCGAAGGCGGAUCUCUGGGCCAUUACUGACGCUGGAGGAGCGAAAGCGUGGGGAGCGAACAGG
rnacentral:rRNA from 1 species